AUUGAACGCUGGCGGCAGGCUUAACACAUGCAAGUCGAGCGAGCGGCGGCCGGGUGAGUAAUGUCUGGGAAACUGCCUGAUGGAGGGGGUUAACUACUGGAAACGGUAGCUAAUACCGCAUACCAUCAGAUGUGCCCAGAUGGGAUUAGCUAGUAGGUGGGGUAAUGGCUCACGUAGGCGACGAUCCCUAGCUGGUCUGAGAGGAGUACCAGCCACACUGGAACUGAGACACGGUCCAGACUCGUACGGAAGGCAGCAGUGGGGAAGAUUGCACAAUGGGCGCAAGCCUGAUGAAGCCAUGCCGCGUGUGGGAAGAAGGCCUGCGGGUUGUAAAGAACUUUCAGCGAGGAGGCGUUACUCGCAGAAGAAGCACCGUCUAACUCCGUGCCAGCAGCCGCGGUAAUAC
rnacentral:rRNA from 1 species